rnacentral:rRNA from 1 species
GACGUAGGUUGCGAGCGUUAUCCGGAAUCAUUGGGCGUAAAGCGUUUGUAGGCGGUUAUUUAAGUUGGAUGUUAAAUCCCUGAGCUCAACUCAGGAUCGGUGUCCAAAACUGGGUAACUAGAGACUGGCAGAGGUAGAUGGAAUUCUGUAUGUAGGGGUAAUAUCCGUAGAUAUGCAGAGGAACACCAAAAGCGAAGGCAAUCUACUGGGCCAGUUCUGACGCUGAGAAACGAAAGCGUGGGGAUCAAACGGG